GACGAACGCUGGCGGCGUGCUUAACACAUGCAAGUCGAACGGAAAGGCCCUGCUUUUGUGGGGUGCUCGAGUGGCGAACGGGUGAGUAACACGUGAGCAACCUGCCCUUGACUUUGGGAUAACUUCAGGAAACUGGGGCUAAUACCGGAUAGGAGCUCCUGCUGCAUGGUGGGGGUUGGAAAGUUUCGGCGGUUGGGGAUGGACUCGCGGCUUAUCAGCUUGUUGGUGGGGUAGUGGCUUACCAAGGCUUUGACGGGUAGCCGGCCUGAGAGGGUGACCGGCCACAUUGGGACUGAGAUACGGCCCAGACUCCUACGGGAGGCAGCAGUGGGGAAUAUUGCACAAUGGGCGGAAGCCUGAUGCAGCAACGCCGCAUGCGGGAUGACGGCCUUCGGGUUGUAAACCGCUUUCGCCUGUGACGAAGCGUGAGUGACGGUAAUGGGUAAAGAAGCACCGGCUAACUACGUG
rnacentral:rRNA from 1 species